GUUAACUUGGGCAAUACAGACGGAAUAUUAUUAGGUUGGCUUAUGCUAGAGGGUAGGGAAAUGGGAGUGAAGUUAGAGAAAAUGGAGGAGUUGAGAAGCAGAGAAGGAAUAUGGAUAACUGAGAUGGAAACAUGAAGACCUAACAACAGCUGACACCUGGUCCCAAAAUGUCAGCCUGAGGUCUAAGACAACAUCAAAAUCAUACACCAUUAAAAAAAAAAACCUCAAGAUUACUCCCCUCAUAAAGAAUAUAAUUUGGAAGCAAAGGGGCUUAAAGAUCCUUCAAGAUAGCAUGAACUGCCAUGGCUUUAUGUUUGCAAGUAUUCAAUUUCAACCUGUUAAAGUAGGCCAUCUGGUGAAGGAAGGAAUGCACACUCAUUCUCUCAUCCUGAGAGAGAAAAAGGUAAAUUUAAGUAUCAUCCUCAUAUCAAUGUUAUGAUAACCCCUCCUUUUAAUACGAUCUCCUAGUGGAAGGUUAUUCACUGUGAAUAAUAAUGGACCUAAGAGUGAAACCUCUGGGACUCCUCAGUCUAAAGGGUUUUGUGAGGAUUUGUUCAGACCUGAAGACAACCUUUGGCACCAAUAUGACAGACAGGAUGCAAAGCAGUUGAAACACCAUAGAGUACAGGCCACAGCAUUACUUUAAACAUUCAAAUUAAAAUACCAUGAUCAACAGUGUCAAAGGCAGCCAAGAGAUCCGGGAUGAUAAAGGAUGAAGACAUUUACCACCCAAAUGGGGGUCAAUUUCUGUACUGUGAUGAAUGCAACACCCAGUCUGAAAUGGAUCCACGAGUAUGUUAUCCAAAAAAAAAUUGGGUACAAAGCUGCACAAAAACAACUUUAUCUUUGAACUUACCAAGGAAUGGAAGGUUUACAAUUUUAUAUAAGUUAUCAAGUAUAUUGAGAUCAAUGCCUGCCAGAUGGAAGCUUUCCAAAUACUGUUCUCUUCUGGUUUUCCUCUUCUAAUAAAAGCAGAAUUAUAGCAUGCAUUUCAGGGAAUAGAAUUUUGAAAAUGGUUGGUAAAAGCUUGUAACUUUUGAGGUGAUAAACAGUUUGGCAGUAGGCUGAUGCUGCUGCAUUUGCCAUGUGAAAGCACUUGCUUUAGGCUUGUUAGACCUAACUAGAAGUGUUUAGCAUUUUUGAAAGAAGUUUUUUUUUCCUUUUUUGCUGAUUAUUAAAGUAUUGGACUUAGGCUUA